AUGACACAGAUGGUGAAAUACGUGCAAAGCACGGAGCUGUGUCUGUGAAAAUGAAGAGGAACACUGAGGAGCAGCACGAGGACAAGCCCCACACUUCUGCGGUUGCUGUUGGCCUCAGCUCUGCCGCCUCAGGGCACAGCCUUCUCCGCAGUUGCUCUCCUGGCCCCGCAGGGUCGUGUGUGCCUGCAUGAAGCUAAAACAAAAUGCAGAGCUUCUCAAAACUGCUCUACUUCAUACCAUUAACCGGUCAGCCACCAGUACCAGCAAACCCGCAGAUGGGACGCAGAGGCUUCCAGGAAAACAGCAACACCAAACACACCGGACGGGAGUCCUGGCUGCAGGCCGUUCUACAUCCAGGGCCCCGGGUAGGCAGCGCUUACUCUUCCCCCAUGCAAGCCCCUCCCUUGUGGACAAAGGCAGAAGUGAAGGUGGUGCUCUCCAGAUGGGGCUGUAAACGCUGCGUCCUGUGUGCUCUGCCUGGGAUGGCUCGCCCUGGACACCAGCCCUGGCCAGUGAGAAGCCCAGGAGCAAGUACGGAAGCUCAUGCAGCACACACUUGAGCACACACCUGCACGCACACCUGCGCACACGCCACACACACCUGCGCACACUCCUGCACACACAGUGCACACACCUGCACACACACCUGUGCACACACACCUGUGCACACGCCACACACCCGUGCACAAACCUGAGCACACCUGCACACACACCUGAAAACACACCUGCGCACACCUGAGCACACACCUGAGCACACACCUGCGCACACACCUCAGCACGUAUCUGCAAACACUUGAGCACACACCUGAGCACACACCUGCACACACUCCUGCGCA
rnacentral:lncRNA from 10 species